AGGGGCCAGUGUUCUUUGGCAGAGGUUAAAGACCUUGUAAAACUACAUAUCUCAGGAUUACAUAUGAUGGAGCUGCGGCACUCAAAUUGGUGUCAAGCCGCAUUAUAUCUGCAGUAUAGAUGCACUCUUCAACAUUAAGAUAUUUUUUAAACAGAGAGGGAAACUCUAGAAUCACUUUAGCAAAGCAUGCUCUAGUUUUAAAAUAUCGAUAGAAAAGGUCUGGUUUAUAUCCAACAAACUGAGACAAACAGACCCAAAAAUAAUGAAAUGGAGAUGGAAGCAGAGGCGACAACAGCUGACAAAACCCAAGGAGCUAUAUCACAAGAACUCAAAUGUCAUUGCUCUUCACAGUCUGGAAAAGCCCAUUAGCUGGUUAUUUUAAAACGUAGUGCAUUGUUAUCUUUUAAGCUGGUUUGGGGGCUUCUCACUGGUUGCUUAACAAACAUGGAGGGACGUGUCUGGAGUAGUACAUCUGUUCUGUUGGUUCUCAUUAACUAUGUUUUCAGAUUGAAAAACACAUACUAAUUGAUACACAACCUUCUCAGUCUAUUUCUCUGCUCAGAAAGUUUUGCAUGUUUUUAAAGUUUUGGUUUCAUUCAUUUAAUUCACACCAAUAUACAGUUUCUAAAGACUAGGAUAAUUGAGUUCUAGAAUUAAUGAUGUCACAGUUAGCAGUGUUCCUUAUUCACAGGGUACCAAACAGGUCCUAUUUUCCACAGGAUACCUGUGAUUUCUUCUAGAGACGAUCUGCGCUUGCCAGUUAGAUCUACGUAAGCAGUUUGAUCCCUGUAAAAUUGCACUGACAGUUGCGUACUUUCCAGUUCCCUCAAUACUCAAACAGGUCCAAGCCAAACAAUAGCUGCUACAUCAUCUUUUGAACUGGGAAUAGAGAGGAAGUGAAUAGCAGUUCUAGCCCAAGUGGAGGAUGUAUGUCAAGAAUUUCCCAAUUCUCCAGCGACUGAAGAGGGAUGAAUUCUAUGACCAAGCUGGAAAAUACAUCUUAGGUGCCAUUAUUGCUGGAUGCAUUUUCUGGGGCUUAGUUUAUGGUCUGCUUAUUUGGUAUUUUAGAUGGAGACUUGAGAAAAAUGAGAGACGCAACAGAUCCAAAGGCAACUCAAUAUAGUUUCACCUAUGUCCCCACCCUGCUUUUGUCAAUGAUAAUAUAAUAUUAUAUAUCAAUAUAAUAAAAUUUGAAAAUAUGUUGCCAGCAGAGGUGUUCAAAAUAUUGUUUGAGGUGACUCCUUACUCUGCUUGGUUCUUUGCUAUAUUUUUCUCCUCUCCACUGAAUCCA